rnacentral:rRNA from 1 species
CCUACGGGGCGCAGCAGUGGGGAAUAUUGGACAAUGGGCGAAAGCCUGAUCCAGCCAUGCCGCGUGUGUGAAGAAGGCCUUCGGGUUGUAAAGCACUUUCAGUGGGGAAGAAAGCCUUGGGGCUAAUACCCUCGAGGAAGGACAUCACCCACAGAAGAAGCACCGGCUAACUCCGUGCCAGCAGCCGCGGUAAUACGGAGGGUGCGAGCGUUAAUCGGAAUUACUGGGCGUAAAGCGCGCGUAGGCGGUCUGAUAAGCCGGUUGUGAAAGCCCCGGGCUCAACCUGGGAACGGCAUCCGGAACUGUCAGGCUAGAGUGCAGGAGAGGAAGGUAGAAUUCCCGGUGUAGCAGUGAAAUGCGUAGAGAUCGGGAGGAAUACCAGUGGCGAAGGCGGCCUUCUGGACUGACACUGACGCUGAGGUGCGAAAGCGUGGGUAGCAAACAGGAUUAGAUACCCGGGUAGUC